ACAAGCUGGAGGGCUGGUAAUGAGAUUCGAUCGCGAGCAGUAUCGACGUUUCAGGAAGCAUGAUUCAUUUUUCAAAAAGGCUCCUGAUACUGUUACAGAAAUCAAUAGUACUUCGGAAAUUCUUAGAAAUAUGGCAGCCAUCACAAAUAUACAUAAAUGAAGUGGUGUAGAAGAAAAGAUGUCUUUAUCGUACUCAAGACUAACACUUAGUUAUUUUACACUUUCCUUUGGUACACUGUAUGUUAAAGUUGAAUCCCACCAUCAAAAUAACAAUACUAUGAACGGAAGUGUUAAUUUUGAAACUGCAAACAAC